rnacentral:rRNA from 1 species
UACGAAGGGGGCUAGCGUUGUUCGGAAUUACUGGGCGUAAAGGGCGCGUAGGCGGCGUGUCAAGUCUGUCGUGAAAUCCCCGGGCUCAACCUGGGAAUGGCGAUGGAUACUGGCGAGCUAGAGUGUGUCAGAGGAUGGUGGAAUUCCCGGUGUAGCGGUGAAAUGCGUAGAGAUCGGGAGGAACAUCAGUGGCGAAGGCGGCCGGCUGGGACAACACUGACGCUGAAGCACGAAAGCGUGGGGAGCAAACAGG